rnacentral:rRNA from 1 species
UGGGGAAUUUUGGACAAUGGGCGCAAGCCUGAUCCAGCCAUGCCGCGUGCGGGAAGAAGGCCUUCGGGUUGUAAACCGCUUUUGUCAGGGAAGAAAUCUUCUGAGUUAAUACCUCGGGAGGAUGACGGUACCUGAAGAAUAAGCACCGGCUAACUACGUGCCAGCAGCCGCGGUAAUACGUAGGGUGCAAGCGUUAAUCGGAAUUACUGGGCGUAAAGCGUGCGCAGGCGGUUUUGUAAGACAGAGGUGAAAUCCCCGGGCUCAACCUGGGAACUGCCUUUGUGACUGCAAGGCUUGAGUGCGGCAGAGGGGGAUGGAAUUCCGCGUGUAGCAGUGAAAUGCGUAGAUAUGCGGAGGGACACCGAUGGCGAAGGCAAUCCCCUGGGCCUGCACUGACGCUCAUGCACGAAAGCGUGGGGAGCAAACAGGAUUAGAUACCCUGGUAGUCCACGCCCUAAACGAUGUCAACUGGUUGUUGGGAAGGUUCCUUCUCAGUAACGUAGCUAACGCGUGAAGUUGACCGCCUGGGGAGUACGGCCGCAAGGUU